CCGCCAUGACCUAUGUCGCCACCACCAUGCCCGCUGCCCCGAAUACUCCGCCGGCUGACGAAGCCCCUGUCCCGGUGAGUCAAAUUAGGGUUCAAUUAGGGUUAAAUUAGGGUUCAAUUAGGUUCAAUUAGGUUCAAUUCGGGUUCAAUUAGGGUUAAAUUACGUUAAAUUAGGGUUAAAUAUUGUUGUUUGUCUUUAGUUCUAUAGUUAAUUAGGGUUGAAUCUUGCUGUUUUCUUAAUUAGGGUUGAAUCUUAUUGUUUAUGUUUAGUUUGGGUUUAAACAUUGUUGUUUAUGUUUAGUUCUAUAGUUAGUUAGGGUUGAAUCUUGCUGUUUUCUUAAUUAGGGUUGAAUCUUAUUGUUUAUGUUUAGUUUGGGUUUAAAUAUUGUUGUUUAUGUUUAGUUCUAUAGUUAAUUAGGGUUGAAUCUUGCUGUUUUUUUUAUUAGGGUUGCUGUUUAUGUUUAGUUAGGGUUUAAAUAUUGUUGUUUAUGGUUAAGUAUUGAUGUUAUUGCUGUUUAUGGUUUAAUGAUACAUGCAUGUGAUCCCGACCAUCGUGUCGGUUGAUAUGAGGAAUGUGGGCCCGGCCAUCGUGCCGGGUCGUUGAGAAGGGUCUGGCCAUCGUGCCGAGGGGGUAUAUGUGGGUGGGAGUUUUUUUUAUGCAGGUAUAACAUUCGGGUAGACUCAUUUGUUGUUUUACAGCAAUAGUCAUGCCGAAAUUUUCUUGUUUUACAGCAUAGGUCAUGCCGAAUUUUUCUGUUUUUUUAAAUUACUUUUAUAAGUGUUGGAUAGCAAGCUCAGGCUCGCGUUGAAGCGGGGGCAUCUUCCUCGAGCUCGAAAAUUGCCAUGAGCGAGGAGCAGCUGUUCUUGAAGGAGCCGAGGAGCAGCUGCUCCUUCAAGGAGCAACUAACGAGGAAGAAGCCCAGGGUGCGACGUCUCAAGCUACGGAGGCGAAUACUCAGUUGAAGUCCAAGCAGGGACGAACAAGGUGCCGAAGGAGUCGUGGGUCGUCACCAAGUUGAGCAAAGAAAACUACCCGAAGGAAUCGGUGGAGGCCGCAGA
rnacentral:lncRNA from 1 species